rnacentral:rRNA from 1 species
UACGUAGGGUCCGAGCGUUGUCCGGAAUUAUUGGGCGUAAAGGGCUCGUAGGCGGUUUGUCACGUCGGGAGUGAAAACUCAGGGCUCAACCCUGAGCGUGCUUCCGAUACGGGCAGACUAGAGGUAUGCAGGGGAGAACGGAAUUCCUGGUGUAGCGGUGGAAUGCGCAGAUAUCAGGAGGAACACCGGUGGCGAAGGCGGUUCUCUGGGCAUUACCUGACGCUGAGGAGCGAAAGCUAGGGGAGCGAACGGG